AGGUAUGUAUUUAAAUAUAUAUAAAAUCUAAUUUGCAUUUAGAAAUUAUUGGUUAGACCAAUCUUACCUA
rnacentral:tRNA from 1 species